rnacentral:rRNA from 1 species
UACGGAGGGUGCAAGCGUUGUUCGGAAUUAUUGGGCGUAAAGCGCGCGCAGGCGGCUGGGUAAGUCCUGGGGUGAAAUGCCGGAGCUCAACUCCGUGCCCGCCCCGGAUACUGUCCGGCUGGAGACACGUAGAGGCAAGCGGAAUUUCGGGUGUAGCGGUGGAAUGCGUAGAGAUCCGAAAGAACACCGGAGGCGAAGGCGGCUUGCUGGGCGUGAUCUGACGCUGAGGCGCGAAAGCGUGGGGAGCGAACGGG